rnacentral:rRNA from 1 species
AGCGAACGCUGGCGGCAGGCUUAACACAUGCAAGUCGAGCGCCGUAGCAAUACGGAGCGGCAGACGGGUGAGUAACACGUGGGAACGUGCCUUUUGGUUCGGAAUAACUCAGGGAAACUUGAGCUAAUACCGGAUAAGCCCUUCGGGGGAAAGAUUUAUCGCCGAAAGAUCGGCCCGCGUAAGAUUAGCUUGUUGGUGAGGUAACGGCUCACCAAGGCUACGAUCUUUAGCUGGUCUGAGAGGAUGAUCAGCCACAUUGGGACUGAGACACGGCCCAAACUCCUACGGGAGGCAGCAGUGGGGAAUAUUGGACAAUGGGUGCAAGCCUGAUCCAGCCAUGCCGCGUGAGUGAUGAAGGCCUUAGGGUUGUAAAGCUCUUUUAGCAGGGACGAUAAUGACGGUACCUGCAGAAAAAGCCCCGGCCAACUUCGUGCCAGCCGCCGCCGUAACAC